CGGCCAGUACGCGGUCGGACACGAGCCGCUGCGGCUUGCCGCGCUGUAUCAGCGCUCGUUCCGGGUCGGCCCGGUCGUC
rnacentral:tRNA from 1 species